ACUCCUACGGGAGGCAGCAGUGGGGAAUUUUGCGCAAUGGGCGAAAGCCUGACGCAGCAACGCCGCGUGAGUGAUGAAGGCUUUCGGGUCGUAAAGCUCUGUCAGGGGGAAAGAAGUGUAUUGUGGCUAAUAUCCACGAUACUUGACGGUACCCCCAAAGGAAGCACCGGCUAACUCCGUGCCAGCAGCCGCGGUAAUACGGAGGGUGCAAGCGUUGUUCGGAAUUAUUGGGCGUAAAGCGCGUGUAGGCGGUUUGUUAAGUCUGAUGUGAAAGCCCCGGGCUCAACCCGGGAAGUGCAUUGGAAACUGGCAGACUUGAAUACGGGAGAGGGUAGUGGAAUUCCUAGUGUAGGAGUGAAAUCCGUAGAUAUUAGGAGGAACACCGGUGGCGAAGGCGGCUGCCUGGACCGAUAUUGACGCUGAGACGCGAAAGCGUGGGUAGCAAACAGGAUUAGAUACCCUGGUAGUCCACGCCGUAAACGAUGAGAACUAGGUGUUGCGGGUA
rnacentral:rRNA from 1 species